UUUAAAACAAACUGCAGAUGUUUUGUUUUGGUGACUGUCAUCUGUCAUCACACGCUUCUUCCUUGUUGUCAAACAAACACCUGAAGCUGUGAGUCAGACUGAACGUGAAGCCGCUCGCGCCGCCUAGUGGAGCGGAUGAAGAACUGCACUUCUUUUUCUGCGAUCGGUCCUCUACGUCUUUUAUUUCACUGGCGGGAUUUGUGAGUUCCCCAGACACUUCCUCCAGAUCCUCCAUGGGCCAAGGCGUUCCCAGGCAAGCCUGAGAGACAUAGUGCCUCCAGUGAGUCCUGGGUCUUCCCUGAGACCCUCCCAGUAAGACAAGCCUCGAACACAUCCCUCGGAGAAAGGGGACUACCACAGAAAAGCAGGCGAGACCAAGAGAGCCGUUGAAGACAACUAUCCACCGUUGACUCCAGCCGGUGAGUGACUGGAUGAGGUGAGGUUUUAUGGUGUGUUGGUGAUUGGGAGUGCAGGUGCCGGCUGUUAGUAAUCUGGUGAUGGUUCACGUGUGGGUGGUGACUGGUGAUUGGCUGAAGUGAUUUGGAAUGCGGGAACGAGCUGAGGGUGUGACAAGUGGUACCUUCAUGGAUCAGAUUUGUACCUUUGGUGAGAGUACAAUAUUGUGUCUGCGGGUUUUAAAAACCAAAGGUAAAUUUUGGUUUGCCAUAAUACAAAUCAUGUCCUUAAAGGUACAAACUGCAGAGGUACAAAUUAGUUUAUUUGUCUUAAGGUACAAUUCUGUCCAUAAACAUGUACUGCCCCAGUGACAAGGGUUUGUACCUUCCUUGGUACAACACUGUACCUUUUUUUUCCCUGAGAGUGUACAAUC